rnacentral:rRNA from 1 species
GACGAACGCUGGCGGCGUGCUUAACACAUGCAAGUCGAACGGAGUGGCGAACGGGUGAGUAACACGUGGGUGAUCUGCCUUGCACUUCGGGAUAAGCUUGGGAAACUGGGUCUAAUACCGGAUAGUGCAAGAUGAGCUCGCGGCCUAUCAGCUUGUUGGUGGGGUAAUGGCCUACCAAGGCGUCGACGGGUAGCCGGCCUGAGAGGGUGAACGGCCACAUUGGGAUUGAGAUCCGGCCCGGACGCUUACGGGAGGAAGUGGGGGGGAAUAUGGAACAAUGGGCGGAAGCCGGAUGCAGCGGCGCGGGGUGGGGAUGAAGGCCUUCGGGUUGUAAACUCCUUUCGACAGGGACGCGGUACCUGUAUAAGAAGCACCGGCUAACUACGUGCCAGCAGCCGCGGUAAUAC